GUCAGAACCACCAUUUUUUUUUUCAGUUGGAAAAAGAUAUUUUUUCAUACAAUAUAUUUUGGUCAUGUUUUUCCCCUCCUCCAACACCCAGUUCCUCCCAGGUCCCUCUCUCUUCUCUGCCCAUCCAUCUUUAUAUUCUUUCUCUCUUAAAAAAACAAAAACAAAAACAAAAAUAAAACACCCUCCCCUUUAGCAAACCCACAAAAACAAGUAAGCAACAGGCCAAUAAAACAGAAAAGAAAAAAAAUUAAAAAUAAAUGAAACAAAAAAUCCACAAAAAUACCACUGAGUUUGUUUUGUGUUGAUUAGCUGUCCCAGGGCAUAGGGCCUGCUCUGGUAUGUGGUUUAUAUUUAUAAAUACCCAGUGAGAGUCCAUUGGAGAAGAUUGAUUUUGCUUUAGCAGCAAUAUCAGUUGUACAUAGCUUCUUGCUAAGAUGUAGGACACUUCCUCUCAGUGCUGGACCUUCUCAGACUUGAAUCUGUACAGGUCUUAUGUGUGCUGGCACAGUUUCCUUGAGUUCAUCUGUGUAUUGUCCUGUUGUGUCUUGAAGACAUUGUUUCUAUGGAGUUAUCUGUCAUCUCUGGCUCUCACAGUCUUUCUGCCUCUUCUUCUGCAUAGGUUCUUGAGCAGGCAGGGCUUUGGUGAAGACAUCCUAUUUAGGAGUACGUGGUCUAAAGUCACUGUUUUCACAUUGUCCAGUGGUGAGUCUGUUAAUUUUUGUCUAUGCAAAACAAAGCUGCUCUGUUGAGGGUUAAGCCAAGCACUGAUGUAUGGAUAUAGCAGUAUGUUAUGAGGAAUUCUUGUAUUGUUUUGUUGCUUUAGCAGAAUAAUAGUAUUGGGUUUUCCCCUAGGACCAUGACCUGUCGCAGGUUCUUACAAGUUUAGAAAUGGGAGGUAUGGAUUCCAUCAUAUGGAGUAAACCUUAAAUCCAAUAAAAAUGUAGUUGGUUACCCAUUUAAUGUUUGUGCCACUGCUGCACCAGUAUAUUUUGCAUGCAGGUCACUGCUGUAGGUUGUGGGAUUUGUAGCUGGAGAUCUUGACAAUUCCCUUUCUCCUUCAGUAGUAUAUAGAGUCCUUCAGCACCAGGACUGGUGAAACUUCUGCUUAGGUACCAGCUUGACUUCUCAGUGCUUGGUGAUAUGAUACAUACAUACAUACAUACAUACAUGCUGUCUUUGGCAAUAGAGCUUUACCGUCAGGUUUUAGACAACAACCAGUAGCCUUGGCGAUAUCCUGUGAUGUUUGGGGGCGUCUCCCAUUCCUGCCUGCCCUUGGAGGUUUCACUUCGUGUCAAAAGCUAUCCGGUUGGAGCAUUGUCUCCCCUAUUGUUUGGUGAUACAAUUUAGCUCGCCGUUUUAUAUGUAUAUAUCUUAGGAAGCUUCUACAAUAGCAGGGGUCCUCCAUAUGGUUUUUCCAGUGCACUUUCGUGUUGGUUGUCUCUCCCCACGUUUACCCUUGUCUCCCAUCUCCCUCCCUAUUUAAUUCUAUUCGUUUUCCUUCUGUCUCUCUAAAACACUAUAUUCCAUUUCCCUUUCUUGGGAAUUCCUUCCCCUUCUCCUGGUUCCUUAUGAGAUACCAAGCCUCUGCUGUUAUUUGUAUUGUAGCAUUACAUUUUAAAGGAUUUAAAGCUAACAGCUACACAUAAGAGAAAACAUACAAUAUUUGUAUUUUGGGGUCUAAGGUUACCUCAUCUAGGAUGAUUUUUUUCUAACUUUAUUCAUUUAUUAGAUGACCAUCUAGGCGGUUUCCAAUUUCUGGCUAUUAUGAAUAAAACAGCAAUUAACAGGAAUGAACAAACAUCUCUGUAGUAUGAUGUAGAGUCCUUUGGUUGCAUGCCCAAGAGUAGAAUAGCUGGAUCUUGUGGUAUACUGAUUUUCAGCGUGUUAAGGAACCCUCAUACUGAUUUCCAUAGGUUGUGUGCCUGUUUGCACUUCACACUAGCAGUGAAUAAGUGGUUUCCCUUUUCCACAGCCUUGCCAGCUGUCAUGUGUUUUAUUGAUCUUGGGCAUUCUGACUUGAGUUAGAUAAAAUCUCAAAAUAGCUUUAAUCUACAUUUCUCUGAUGGCUAGGAAAAAACACUAAUAGGGCAGCAGGAGAGAGCCAGGCCACUGGUGUUUGCACUGAGACUCUGAAUCCCAGGGAGUAGAGAAGAUGUGGAAGGAGGAGCUCCUGUAGGCAGGCUGCAUGCAGCAAGACUGAGUCUGGAGAGAUCUGAGUGGAGGACAGGAAGAACAAUGAAAAUCACCUACCUUCGUCUCAGCCCUGUGUGGCCUUUGGGGUUUCAUAGCUCUCAGUUUCUUAGAAUGUUGUUUGACCUAGAAGAACCUGAGUAGGUUGGUUGAAUGUAGGUAACAAUAAUUUCCUUAAGGAGUUUC
rnacentral:lncRNA from 1 species